UGUUUGUCGGUCUCGAUUCCCUGUACAGCGACGCGCACGUAUAGCGGACCGUCGAUGUAUCAGUUGGGCGAUGAGGGUUCGAUCGUUAUCGGUUUUAUAAAACGAUUGUCCACUUAGCAUUCGCCGGAGAUUACGGAGGUCGCAAGGAAAUUUCAACGCAAUCACACUUAGAAAAAUAUGUCAUAUAUUCGUUUAUUCCUCCCCUUUUGAAUAUCUGCUAGCUCUUAAUAAAUAAUUUUUAAUGAACCCGUCUCUCUCAUUUUAAUUUUGAGUAUAUGUUUUAAGAGCAAAUAUAAUAAACGGUGUACAUUAUUGAUUAACGAUGAACACAUCCUGCGUAACUGUAGAAAAUACUAAAUCGUGGGAGUCGAACACGAUACCGUUUUUAUAAAAUUUUUUAAUGUAAGGCUUACUUUCUAACUUUGUUUAACAACUGUUUCCUCACAGUUAACAAAAUCCUCGGAAGAAAGAGACAAUGGCAAACUUUGAAGAAUACAGAAAGUAGAACAUUCCAAAAUUCUUUUAUCUUUCUCGUUUUUCUAUAUCUUAUAAAUGCUUAGAGCACUUUGUUUCCUAGGGUACAACACGUUACUAAACGAUACACUGCAAGGAGCUUAAAUCUCUAUUUUUAAACCAAAUAUUUAGAGUAAAAGUGCAUGUUCUUCUUUGGUCCAAAUAUCUAUAAAUACACCGUUUGUGUUUUCAGUAAGUGGUACCCUGUGAAUUUUAUUUCGAGACGUUCAACCUGUAUAAUUAUUAACACGAUUAAUCAGUCCGAGUUUACAUAAAAGUACGUACCGUUUGUGAAAACUACUCUACACAUCUGCGACUCGUCCGUGUUAACAAGUGCACGCGUGAUCGGUCGAGUUCCUACGUUUUGACUUACGCGUGAAACCAUACGCGUGACAGAAGACGCAGCAACGUGGAAAAUUAACUGUCAGGAAAAGAAUUCGGUACGCGCCCCCGGAUUAGGUUUCUGACAAUUAAGUUGAACUGUUCAAUGAUCCAUUGAAUUACUGUACAGUCCUUGAUCUUUGGUCACGAGAUCUUCAUUCAUGGUAAACAGAAUUAAAUCAUGUUGUUGUAUCAAUAUAUGUAUACCAUGUCUCCAUUCGUUAAUACAUCAGCUUCUCAUUUUCUUCUUCUGAAUUACUCCACAUUCAUUUAUUAAUUUUCUAAUAAUUAAAUAGAAUUAAUUGAAGAAUGUGAGUAUUUUAGUAUUUCAUACUAUCUGUUUAUCGAUAUUGUAUAUUAACAUCAGCUUAUGGCUGUUUUUCCAUCGGAAGGGAAAGCCAAAUUUCUUAUUAACAGUGUUCUAUUAGCGAAUAUGAAUUUGCUAUUCAAUGGAAAUAACCGAUAGAACAAUCUUGUUUCAAAACAUUUCUCCGAUAAUAUCUUAUCUUAUCAACUCUUUGUUUUAAUUUUAAUGCGAUAUAUUUUAUGACGCACUUAUUGUUAGUUCAUUUGUUCCAUAAACAUUGUUGCGUCAGUAGCUUUGUGCUUCUUGAAAAUGUCUUCGAAGGAACGCACGCUGCAGGCGGAAGAGUGAGUCAGGGUAGACCCUUCUUAUCACCAACUCGACUGCAAGAAGUGGAUGCGGAGGGCAUGUAGUACGGGAGUUCACACAAUAACCCUUUCAGACAGUAUGAUAAGAUCCUCCUUCCAUUUGCUACUGUCCUCAGUCUUAUGCUCUACUACAGCAGACACGUCGGAACCACUGCCUGGAGGGUGAGAGCACUUGCACUCCUCGCACUGACUCAUGAGCGAUCCGAAGAGCCAGGUAAAGAGCAGAAAACGGGGACCAUAUUAUUCUAGCAGUAGAUGACGUAGCAGUACCUGUUAUCUAAUCCUGAUCUAUCCCACUUCGGUCUCAUGAAAUUGAAAGAAUGGCAGGGAUACUCGAAAACAACCCCAGAAAGUAUACAGCAUGUUUUAUUUAGAUAUCUCAAGGUCUUCAUUUGAUCCUAAUUAAAUUAUAAUAUUUAACAUCUAACAGAGUUCUAAAAUGAAUCAGACCGUAUCGCUACUACAUCAAGAUUUUUCGAACAAUUUUCCUCCUUAAUAAAUAUGCUAUUGUAUGUACGAUUAACUGAUUAGAUUGAAUUGGAAAGUUGCAAAUUCGUCUCUUUAUAUGGAAACAAAAAUAUAAUGAGGUGUACACUGAAGAAAAGUUGAUGAAAUGAACAUCUUUCUAAAAUUAUUUUUUAAUCUUUCGCCUUGAACUUGACGUAGGCAGAAAAGUCCGUAAAUAACGCAGCCAAUUAACGAUGACGUCGGUGUGAAAUUCAUCUGGACGUCAAAGCAAGAGCGAUGAGUCAUCAGACUGAUACAUGUAGUUCUCUUCUACUUUCCGAUAAGCUCAUCCCCUGUCUCGUCAUCUUAACUUCGAUGUGUCAGCAUUUUUUAUCAUAGGUCAACUAGUUUCAUCUUCACGCGGUAGCCUUGUUAGUAAAAUAUGCCAAUACAAUAUAUGUAUAAGCACAGUAUUUUUAAAAACACGUGAAGACUUCAAAUGUUUAAAAAUAGUCUUUCAAAGGAUAAUUUAGAAUACUCAUUGAAUUUUUCUGAAUUUUUAAUAAAAAACUUUGAAUUAUUCUUAAUGGAAUAUCGAACUACACGUUGUAUAAUAGCACGAAGUAAGUAAUUUUUCCCAAAACCAUUUCUCUGAUUUAUGCAGGUAAAUAAGCGUCUUCCCUGUCUGCAGUCUUAUGCCACCUGGUGUAAAAUCAACCAGUCGUUUGCACACUAGCAGCGGAAAGUACUUACAUAACUACAACUACUCACGAUACGAUUACUUGUUGCACUUACAGCUAUUACAAAUAAAAAAUAUGAAUAAAAAUAAGUGUACGUAGUAGGAAGAAGUGAAGGUGAAGAAAAAAAGAGAAACAUCAUCUAACCAGAAGUGUUACAAAGAACUUGGGCAAAAAAACGGAGAAACUUCAUCUUCUCCAUAUCAUGAAUAUAAGUGUUGAUCCUCCUGGUUUUUCAUACUGUUUCCGGUUAGCGGAUAUCCACCAUGAAACCAGCCGGCAUAACGGAGAACAAUGGGAAGCGGAUAUAAUAGGAGGAAAGAGCAAGAACUACGCUCGAGUGAAUUGGUAUCGAUGAUGAACUUAACAAUUAAUUACUUUCACGUAUGACGGUCAGUCCUCAUCGAGAACGUAAACCUGGCUGCGACAUUCUUUUGCAGAGUAAUUAAAGCGUAUUGUAUCAAUCACGUUGCAAACUUGCCUCCCAGGUCAUGUUUAAAUAAAGCUACGCUUCAUACAUA